rnacentral:rRNA from 1 species
GAGCGCAACCCUGCCCUUAGUUGCCAGCAUUUGUUGGGCACUCUAAGGGGACUGCCGGUGAUAAGCCGAGAGGAAGGUGGGGAUGACGUCAAGUCCUCAUGGCCCUUACGGGGCUGGGCUACACACGUGCUACAAUGGUGGUGACAGUGGGCAGCGAGACCGCGAGGUCGAGCUAAUCUCCAAAAAGCCAUCUCAGUUCGGAUUGCACUCUGCAACUCGAGUGCAUGAAGUUGGAAUCGCUAGUAAUCGCAGAUCAGCAUGCUGCGGUGAAUACGUUCCCGGGCCUU